rnacentral:misc_RNA from 1 species
GAUGAAGAACGUAGUGAAAUGCGAUAAGUAAUGUGAAUUGCAGAAUUCAGUGAAUCAUCGAAUCUUUGAACGCACAUUGCGCCCAUUAGUAUUCUAGUGGGCAUGCCUGUUCGAGCGUCAUUAAGUCCACUUAAGCCCUGCUUAGUGUUGGGAGACUGCUUCAGCGGUGCUACCCUGUAGCUACCCUGCAGCUCCUCAAAGACAGCGGCGGAGUUGUGGUAUCCUCUGAGCUUAGUAACUUGUUCUAGCUUUCGAGUACACCACUUCCCCUGCCGUAAAACCCUUAAUUUUUAAUGGUUGACCUCGGAUCAGGUAGGAAUACCCGCUGAACUUAAGCAUAUCAAUAAGCGGAGGA